AGAGUUUGAUCCUGGCUCAGGACGAACGCUGGCGGCGCGCCUAACACAUGCAAGUCGAACGAGCGAGAGAGAGCUUGCUUUCUCAAGCGAGUGGCGAACGGGUGAGUAACGCGUGAGGAACCUGCCUCAAAGAGGGGGACAACAGUUGGAAACGACUGCUAAUACCGCAUAAGCCCACAGCUCGGCAUCGAGCAGAGGGAAAAGGAGCAAUCCGCUUUGAGAUGGCCUCGCGUCCGAUUAGCUAGUUGGUGAGGUAACGGCCCACCAAGGCAACGAUCGGUAGCCGGACUGAGAGGUUGAACGGCCACAUUGGGACUGAGACACGGCCCAGACUCCUACGGGAGGCAGCAGUGGGGAAUAUUGCACAAUGGGGGAAACCCUGAUGCAGCGACGCCGCGUGGAGGAAGAAGGUCUUCGGAUUGUAAACUCCUGUUGUUGAGGAAGAUAAUGACGGUACUCAACAAGGAAGUGACGGCUAACUACGUGCCAGCAGCCGCGGUAAAACGUAGGUCACAAGCGUUGUCCGGAAUUACUGGGUGUAAAGGGAGCGCAGGCGGGAAGACAAGUUGGAAGUGAAAUCUAUGGGCUCAACCCAUAAACUGCUUUCAAAACUGUUUUUCUUGAGUAGUGCAGAGGUAGGCGGAAUUCCCGGUGUAGCGGUGGAAUGCGUAGAUAUCGGGAGGAACACCAGUGGCGAAGGCGGNCUACUGGGCACCAACUGACGCUGAGGCUCGAAAGUGUGGGUAGCAAACAGGAUUAGAUACCCUGGUAGUCCACACCGUAAACGAUGAUUACUAGGUGUUGGAGGAUUGACCCCUUCAGUGCCGCAGUUAACACAAUAAGUAAUCCACCUGGGGAGUACGACCGCAAGGUUGAAACUCAAAGGAAUUGACGGGGGCCCGCACAAGCAGUGGAGUAUGUGGUUUAAUUCGACGCAACGCGAAGAACCUUACCAAGUCUUGACAUCCUUUGACGAACAUAGAAAUAUGUUUUCUCUUCGGAGCAAGGAGACAGGUGGUGCAUGGUUGUCGUCAGCUCGUGUCGUGAGAUGUUGGGUUAAGUCCCGCAACGAGCGCAACCCUUACUGUCAGUUACUACGCAAGAGGACUCUGGCAGGACUGCCGUUGACAAAACGGAGGAAGGUGGGGGUGACGUCAAAUCAUCAUGCCCUUUAUGACUUGGGCUACACACGUACUACAAUGGCGUUAAACAAAGAGAAGCAAGACCGCGAGGUGGAGCAAAACUCAGAAACAACGUCCCAGUUCGGACUGCAGGCUGCAACUCGCCUGCACGAAGUCGGAAUUGCUAGUAAUCGUGGAUCAGCAUGCCACGGUGAAUACGUUCCCGGGCCUUGUACACACCGCCCGUC
rnacentral:rRNA from 1 species